UUUGCUUAGGUCUGUGGUUGAAAAUCGAUGCCAGUCGCAGGCGAAACGAUCCACGUAAGGGGCGUUAAAGCGUCCUGAUCAUGGUGCGGCUUAGAUGUAAGUCCUGCCGGCCGUGUGGCCGAUGGUACGGUAGAUAAUACGGGGUGCUGUCAUCAGUUGGUUGCCGGCCGAGAGGAGUAGUAGUGAGGGGACACAAGCGUCUAGUAGCGAACCUUCCAGCAGGCGGGUGUGGGGGCAAAGACCAGGUCGGCUAAGCAAG
rnacentral:ncRNA from 20 species